GUGGGGAAUAUUGGACAAUGGGCGAAAGCCUGAUCCAGCCAUGCCGCGUGUGUGAAGAAGGUCUUCGGAUUGUAAAGCACUUUAAGUUGGGAGGAAGGUCAGUAAGUUAAUACCUUGCUGUUUUGACGUUACCAACAGAAUAAGCACCGGCUAACUUCGUGCCAGCAGCCGCGGUAAUACGAAGGGUGCAAGCGUUAAUCGGAAUUACUGGGCGUAAAGCGCGCGUAGGUGGUUUUGUAAGUUGGAGGUGAAAUCCCCGGGCUCAACCUGGGAACUGCCUCCAAAACUGCAUGACUAGAGUACGGUAGAGGGUAGUGGAAUGUCCUGUGUAGCGGUGAAAUGCGUAGAUAUAGGAAGGAACACCAGUGGCGAAGGCGACUACCUGGACUGAUACUGACACUGAGGUGCGAAAGCGUGGGGAGCAAACAGGAUUAGAUACCCCAGUAGUCC
rnacentral:rRNA from 1 species